rnacentral:tRNA from 1 species
AAAACUAUAGUAUAAUUUUUAUUAUACCUUAUUGUCGAUGGGGAGAAUUUUUAGUUUUA